rnacentral:lncRNA from 1 species
ACAUAGGAAAGCUGAUGAGCUUAGGAUAAUAGAUUCCACACCCAGUGGUUGUGUCAUCUGGUUGAUUUUAAAUAUUAAGAUGGUCUGGUGUUUCCCAUCCGCAAAGAUUCAGGUGGGCAAGAGAGAGGGCACAGCCAUGAGUUGGCAGUUGGCAGUUGGUAGAACCAGCCACAGGGGUGGAUGGUCUGUGGAACGCGUAGCUCCAGGCAUUCUUCCAGGCAUUCUUAGGAGGGAUGGUUACUGAGCGGCAUGGCAGCGCCUGCCGCAAGAGUGGACUGCAGUCUAGGGAAGGGGCCAGCUGAAAAGAUGUAACUAACAGGCAGGCAGUUAAAUAGCGUGGAUCUGAAUGAGACCAGCGUGGUCGUUGGCGGCGUGGUGGAAUUAGCCUCGAGAGCUCUGUUAGAGCCUAGCAUGGCCAUCUUCUGAAAGGCCCAACAAGCAGCCGACUGAGGCAGACACAGAUACACCCUACCAAUGGACUGAAGUCUGGGAUCCCUGUGGUUGAAUUAGGGAAAGGCUGGAAGAAGCUGAGGAGGAGCGUGAGCCCAGGAGGGAGACCAGUAGUCUCAACUAACCUGGACCCCUGAGAUCUACAGCAGAAGACUGCCUGUUCUGGCCUCAGUGAGAGAAGAAGCAUCUAACCCUUGAGAGCAAGAGACUUGAGGCCCCCAGGGAAUGGGGAGACCAGGAACUCAUCCAUGUGACCCGGAAAGUGCCUUAAACUCAGACCAUUGCCGACUGCAUGUGUAUGUUUCCUGCUCAGAGCUAUGCAAAACUACAAGGCCUUCCACAACAUAAAGUCUUAAGGUUUGCCACUGAGAUUUCACGCCGUUUCCUGUUUGAGGGGGACGACCUGACAAGUCUCUCUUGAGCUAAAGAGGAAAACGUGGUGUCAACAAAUCGUUUUGAAAUUUCAGAAAGUAAAGAGAAAUAAAGGAAUGACUGAGAGUCCUCACCAGCCCUUUAUCUUUCUCCUUUGUGAAGUGUUCCUCUUCUGUUGCAUUGUGGAUGAACGGGGGCCAGGAAAUAGAGGAAACAAACAGACAUUCGGAGAAAAAAAGGAAAGAAAAGAAGAUACAAUGAAAACAAACAAAUCUGAAUGGGACAAAACCACAAACAAACAAAUAAAUGAAGAGCCAAAUAAAAAGCACAAGAAACACAAAUAGAUCCAGAAACACACACACUGGCAUUCAGGGAAAUCUCAUAAAAAUGCAAAAUUAGAAUUCAUAAUACACAAGCAAAAGCCCUACAAGGUAAGAAAAAGAGAGGAAGGAAGGACGAGGGAUGAGAGCGAGAAAGAAGGGAGCCUUAGGAAUGGUUUUGUUCUCAGUUAGACUCUGAUGGAGAAACCUAAUUUGUCCUUUCCUGAGGGUUCCUGUUUUCCUAUCAUCUUAAUA